AACGAACGCUGGCGGCAGGCCUAACACAUGCAAGUCGAGCGGGACCUUCGGGUCUAGCGGCGGACGGGUUAGUAACGCGUGGGAACGUGCCCAAAGGUACGGAAUAGCCUCGGGAAACUGAGAGUAAUACCGUAUGUGCCCCUCGGGGGAAAGAUUUAUCGCCUUUGGAUCGGCCCGCGUUGGAUUAGGUAGUUGGUGGGGUAAUGGCCUACCAAGCCGACGAUCCAUAGCUGGUUUGAGAGGAUGAUCAGCAACACUGGGACUGAGACACGGCCCAGACUCCUACGGGAGGCAGCAGUGGGGAAUCUUAGACAAUGGGGGAAACCCUGAUCUAGCCAUGCCGCGUGAGCGAUGAAGGCCUUAGGGUUGUAAAGCUCUUUCAGAUGGGAAGAUAAUGACGGUACCAUCAGAAGAAGACCCCGGCCGUAACUACCGUCGCCAGCAGCCGCGGUAAAACGUAAGCGUG
rnacentral:rRNA from 1 species